rnacentral:rRNA from 1 species
AAAUUGAAGAGUUUGAUCAUGGCUCAGAUUGAACGCUGGCGGCAGGCCUAACACAUGCAAGUCGAACGGUAACAGGAAGCAGCUUGCUGCUUUGCUGACGAGUGGCGGACGGGUGAGUAAUGUCUGGGAAACUGCCUGAUGGAGGGGGAUAACUACUGGAAACGGUAGCUAAUACCGCAUAACGUCGCAAGACCAAAGAGGGGGACCUUCGGGCCUCUUGCCAUCGGAUGUGCCCAGAUGGGAUUAGCUAGUAGGUGGGGUAACGGCUCACCUAGGCAACGAUCCCUAGCUGGUCUGAGAGGAUGACCAG